UUUCAUGCUUUUGCAGCAUGCAAAAUCGAUCAACGUACCUAAUUAUGAUGAUAACCGCUGAAUUACUUGAAUAAUUUGUCAGAAGGCUCUUGUCAAACAAUUACUUGUAACUUGUGAGCGUCACACCCUCAAGCACCUAAUAUGUCGCGGAGAAUAAAAUUUUAUGAGAUAUCAUACAGGAAUUUUUGUAUAGUAAUACUCCCUCUGAUCCAUAAUAAUUGUCGAGGUUUGAACUUAAACCCCGACAAUUAUAAUGGAUCGAGGGGAGUAUAAUGUAAUCGUUUUGUUUUCUCCUGACAUGCAGUAUGACGAUUACCCUAACCCUGACGUUAUCGGAACACUGCAGGACAUAGAUCACACAUAGAUGCCUUGUGUUUCAUGAUCAAGAUUAACAGUUUGCGUGGAAGGGCAGUUUCUCUUUUGAUAUGUUUACCUAUCUAAGCAGUUUUAGAUUACAACUGUGCUUGUUGCUGUAUAUGGUGUAGGUUGACUAUUUGUUUCUUACGAGUCAGUUCCAUUGUACCUCAAGUCCAACAACCACCAACUACAUCUUGCCUUGUGAGUUUCAGUUCCAGCUUAGCAGGUUCGCCAGUUGACCGGCGACUCAAAAUUGGACUCGAAGCUUGGCUGCUCUAUCCAAACAACGGUGAUGUCCCGACGGAGGGUUGAGCGGUUCUGCAUAAUCCACCAUUUGAAAGGUGUGUCACCCUCUAGACGAGCCUGAACCCUGUUUCAAGACUUGAAACAGGGCGUUGGGCGCCAACCACCUCCUCUGUUUUUGUCUGUCGCCUCACCAACUUUUCCCCUUCUCUCUGCGCUGGUCUUCUACAGAAUAUAGGCGACCGCCUACUCCUCUGUCCACACCGCCAUCUUUUUCCUCAACUUCUGCUAUGCCGUGCGCUCGCUGUCGUCUGUGGCUGCCGGCCAGCUCCACACCCGCUCCAUGCAUCUUCCUCCUACUUGUUAGUUAGUGUACGUGAUCGCUAGGCACAGCAUACAAACUCUGUAGCGUGCUAGCACAAGGUACCUACUUGGUAGGCUAGUCGUUUAGUUAAUCCUGCUGCUUAUUGUUGCACUAAGGAAGCUUUAGCUAUAGAGGAUGUUGUAACAUACUCUGAUGUAAUCCCUGGCUUUCUGAGUUGCUCUUUGCACUCGGACAUGCUACUGCUGAAUGAAUGAAAUAUGGAGAGCAGAGUUAUAAAAAAGAAAUGACUUGGUAUAGCCAGUGAUUUCUUAAACAAGUUUCAUCCUGUACAU